rnacentral:tRNA from 1 species
UAACCAAAAGCUUAGGUUAAUCCAAACCAGGGGCCUUCAAAGUCCCAAACAAGGGAGUCCCUCCCCNUUAGCUUUUG